rnacentral:misc_RNA from 1 species
AACGCACCUUGCACUCCUUGGUAUUCCGAGGAGUAUGCCUGUUUGAGUGUCAUGAAAUUAUCAACUUCAUAGUUUUCUAAUGAUAACAAAGCUGGAUAACGGCGGAGUCAUCUUAAAUUAUGAAGCUUGGACUUGGAAGUUGCUGGCUAAUUUACUGUCAGCUCUUCUUAAAUGUAUUAGCUACUCGUCCUGUGAGUUGGCUCAGAGUGUGAUAAGUUAUCUACACUUGGUGGCUGCUUGCUAUAGGAUGUGGCUUAUAAUCGUCUUCGGACAACUUUUAAGAUCUGACCUCAAAUCAGGUAGGACUACCCGCUGAACUUAA